rnacentral:rRNA from 1 species
UACGGAGGGGGCGAGCGUUGUCCGGAGUUACUGGGCGUAAAGCGCGCGUAGGCGGGUUGGAAAGUCCGCUGUGAAAGCCCGGAGCUCAACUCCGGAGGGUCGGUGGAUACUGCCAGUCUUGAAGGUGCUAGGGGGAGAUGGAAUUACCGGUGUAGCGGUGAAAUGCGUAGAUAUCGGUAGGAACACCAGUGGCGAAGGCGGUCUCCUGGGGCAUUCUUGACGCUGAUGCGCGAAAGCUGGGGGAGCAAACGGG